rnacentral:rRNA from 1 species
UAGUGGCGAACGGGUGAGUAACACGUGGGCAAUCUGCCCUUCACUCUGGGACAAGCCCUGGAAACGGGGUCUAAUACCGGAUAACACUGCGGAUCUCAUGGUCUGUGGUUAAAAGCUCCGGCGGUGAAGGAUGAGCCCGCGGCCUAUCAGCUUGUUGGUGAGGUAAUGGCUCACCAAGGCGACGACGGGUAGCCGGCCUGAGAGGGCGACCGGCCACACUGGGACUGAGACACGGCCCAGACUCCUACGGGAGGCAGCAGUGGGGAAUAUUGCACAAUGGGCGAAAGCCUGAUGCAGCGACGCCGCGUGAGGGAUGACGGCCUUCGGGUUGUAAACCUCUUUCAGCAGGGAAGAAGCGAAAGUGACGGUACCUGCAGAAGAAGCGCCGGCUAACUACGUGCCAGCAGCCGCGGUAAUACGUAGGGCGCAAGCGUUGUCCGGAAUUAUUGGGCGUAAAGAGCUCGUAGGCGGCUUGUCACGUCGAUUGUGAAAGCCCGAGGCUUAACCUCGGG